GACGAACGCUGGCGGCGUGCUUAACACAUGCAAGUCGAACGGAAAGGCCCUGCUUUUGUGGGGUGCUCGAGUGGCGAACGGGUGAGUAACACGUGAGUAACCUGCCCUUGACUUUGGGAUAACUUCAGGAAACUGGGGCUAAUACCGGAUAGGAGCUCCUGCUGCAUGGUGGGGGUUGGAAAGUUUCGGCGGUUGGGGAUGGACUCGCGGCUUAUCAGCUUGUUGGUGGGGUAGUGGCUUACCAAGGCAUUGACGGGUAGCCGGCCUGGGAGGGUGACCGGCCACAUUGGGACUGAGAUACGGCCCAGACUCCUACGGGAGGCAGCAGUGGGGAAUAUUGCACGAUGGGCGGAAGCCUGAUGCAGCAACGCCGCGUGCGGGAUGACGGCCUUCGGGUUGUAACCCGCUUUCGCCUGUGACGAAGCGUGAGUGACGGUAAUGGGUAAAGAAGCACCGGCUAACUACGUG
rnacentral:rRNA from 1 species